AAUCUUGUCACCGACUUUACUUCUGGUGCAGAUUGAGUAGUAGUAUAAUCAACGGCUUCCCAUCUCCGGCGAGUCACCGGCCUCGAGUACAAAGAUCAAGGGCACUCGGUAUAAUUAGUUUACAAGACUAAUUCUUUGGCAGGAUAAUAGUUGCUUUUGAGAUAACAUUGACAAUCUUCCAAAUUUGCAUAAAAAGGCACACAAACGUUCAUUCUUCAGAUUGUUGAUUUUGAAGUCCAAAAAAAACGUAUGAUUUCCCAACAUGCUCAUUUCAAACUCACUUUGCAUAAGAUUUGCGAAUUCCUUGCACAAAAG